AUACUUUAAAAAAAUAAAAGCACUUCCUUGUGACUUGUAAACUGAUUCAUCAAGUCCUUAGAAAAAUUGAAAACCCUCCUUCAACCUAAACCUUCUAUCGGCAAAAAACCGCCACCCACGAAAUCGAAACCACCAUCAAUACUCCCGAAAUUGAUACCCUCCAUCAAAAAAUUGAUAAUCGCGAAACUGAAACCCUCCAUCAACAAAUUGAGAAUCGCGAAAUUGCUACGAAAGAUUCAGAGAUCAUCACUUAGGCACCGCACGAAGCCAUCGGCGAAGCGUUCCAAAAUCGUAUUCGAUUCGUCCCUCUUCCUCUUCUCUAUUCGUGUAAUUUGAUUUAGUGAUUUGGUUUAGUUUUCUAGGCUUGUCUUUGGGUUAAUUGGUUCACUACUGAUUUUUAUAAAUCCGUUUCUUACUACUGAAUAACUCUGUGUGCAGUUGAACAAAUUUAUUGAGGAAUAAUAAUAAAUAAAUAAAGUUAGAAAUUAACUGGGAGUGUGGCCACAGGGAUCGUGGCUAAUUAACAGAUACUUGGCAGCUUCUUUCCUAUGAGUUUCUGAAUGUGUGUACUUAUUUUCUCUUGGAUAUUUAUAGAAUUAUAGGCAUAGUUUUCCAAGUGUUGUGUUGGUCAAGGAAUUCAUAUUUUUGUUUGAAUAAAUAGGAACUAGUCGAUGGUUCACUUUCUUUUGGAGUUUCAGGGACAAUAUCUUCUUCUGAACUUUCCUGUAAAUAGCCUUGGUAAUUAGCUAGCAUGUUCAUCUUUGAAUCGUGUUUCUUGUAUGGGUUUAUUCAUUACCUUUUCAGGCUCAAAAAAUGGUUUCCAAGAAAAACCAUUUUGUUUUGAAAAUGUUUUCCUUAAAGACAAACAAAGCCUAGUCUUGCAAAUGAAAUAUACUCCGUUGUCCGGAUUUUAUAGUCAUGUUGAUAAAUACAAUUCGAACUAGCUAUAUGAAACUAAAUGUAGACGAAGGGAGUAAUCAAACAUUGUCUAUCAGUUUCCUAGAGCCUGUUACAGUCUAAAAUAAUAACUGAAAGUCUGAAAGAUCAAUGCAGCCAACUUAAAUAUGUAACUGCAUUCACCUUACAUUCUUCUCAUGCAUACUAUAUGGAUCAAGCGUAAAUCUAUAAUGGACAUCAUAUCCCUCCGUUAUCAUAUGGAUCAAUUGCCUCAAGCUUAGCUAGUUAGCUCUAUAAUAUAAUUGCCUGUGUUGUUGUGUGGCUCUCUAGUCACUUGACUGUCACAGUCUAGAAGAAAAAAGAACCUUAAUCUUUCAGAGUCGAUAUCAAGUGAUCCGUCUUCUGUUCUUCAUACCUUUGACCUUGUGCAUAAUGAUAUUAUCAUCGUUUGACAUCUCAUCUCCAAUGUUUACAUGAUUUUUCUGUUAGCAAUCGAGAUAAACUCUUGCAGAACUGUUUCAGAACAUAAACAAAAGAUAGCUAGGUUCAACAUUUUUCUUACAUUUUAAAGAAAAGAGUAAGAAAUUAUCAGGGGUAGAAUCCUGAAAAUACCUCUUUAUAUAUUCCUGAUUCUCCAGCAGGUUUUGAUACUUCCACAACAUAAUUUGUUGGUGCCACUUCAAUUACAUCAGCCAACAGGUUAAAAGACGAACGAAACUUAUAUUUUAGUUGUAUUUGCAUCGUGUUGUUACUCACCCAUUCAACUGAAAGACUUGCAUCCCUUGCUGCUUUCUCUAUCUUUUCUAUAGUUUCAGUAAUUGUGUAUUUUGAUCCCAGCUUUAUCCUGUUGUUCUUGUCGUCCUGUUUUUCAAGAUACAAUUAAUCUAAUGAGUGCAGAUCUUAUUAGUAAAAUUUACUACUUUAUUUGAGAAAAUCACUAGAGAAUCGUCAUUAACCAUAUAUAAGGACGCUCUUCAAAUAGGGUUGACAAAUCAAGGUCGCUAGACAUUGCGAUCAGUUGGAAGGCAUUGAUAAAUCCUUGAGUUCCAGGAACAAUUUCUUCUUCUGAACUUUCCUGAAAAAAAAAGCCUUGGCAAUUAGUUAGCAUGUUCAUCUUUGAACCGUACAUGUUUCUUGUAUAUGUUUAUUCAUUACCUUUUCAGGCUCAAAAACUGCUCGAACAUCAUCUGUGUAGCUUUUUCCUUGAAAGUAAAUUCCUGCAGCAGGCUUAUAAUCUCUCUGAAACCACUCAUCUUCAACAAUUUCUGCUACUGUAAUUCUCUGCAGAAAACAGAAGUCGAGGUUGGUAAGAUCAAUCUGUCGUUUUUCAGUGUCCCAUACUUUUAUAUGAAUUUAAAUCCGCAUAACUUUUUUGAACGGGAAUUCAAUAAUCUUCCAAUAAGUUGCUUCUGAGUUGGUGUAUACAAAUUUGGACAUUCAUACUCAACUCUCAAUAUCUAUGCAGAGGAAACUUUGUUAGAUGAAGGGUUCUUUUGUACUAUCAAAAGUGUUUUACCGUUUAUUUUGUGAGGGAAAAUACCUUUGUGUACAAAUUUAAUAGAUUUGGGUCAAUGAAUGGUAGAUAACCAGUAUACAACUCAAAUAGAUCACUCCAAAAGCCCAGACAUUUGCAAAUGCUCCAUCGUAAGUUUUCUUGUUCAUUUCAUGUUAAUUAGACAAUAUUAAAGUUAGUUCUUUCAUUUCAACAAUGUCGGACCAUUUUAUCUUAUCACUUAUCAUACAUUUAUUUGAUUGAAAACAAUUUCCUCUUACCUCAUGUGCUACAUAGGUUGGAGAAGCACAUGCUGUCAAUAACAAACUUGCAGGCUGUAGGCAUCAGUUCAGAAACUAGUAAGCGAAAACAUUGGGUAAACGAAUUUCACUUUGACGAAAUGUAAGUAUGUACCUUUUGCAAUGCAUUGAGUCCAAAGUCCGAUACUUUGAUGUUUCAUUGGUUAUCCAAAAGCAGGUUUUCUGUCUGCAUAGUAAAUGAAACAUGUCAAAUUGGGUCAGUCAGCUGGUUUGAGUUUUUAUUUGGAUCGGGCAAUCUAAUGGAGUUCAGAGUUCAGUAUCUUUCAGCUAUUCACAUUACCUUUAAAUCUCUGUGAUACACUCCUCUGGAAUGGCAGUAGUCUACUGCAUCAAUCAACUGCUGGAAGUAUUUUCUUGUACCCUCCUCACUUAACUUCUCCAAAAUACAUUCAAUUGGAGAGGUAUAUCAUGAAGAACAUGGAGUAGGAUACUGUGGUAUGCUGUCCAUGAGAGUAUCUUCUAUUGUGGUUUAGUGUAAGGUACCUGUAGAGGUUCCUGCUGUGGAGAAGCAACGGUGGGUCCUAAACGAUUUCGAUAUCGGAAAGCCUCUUGGCCGAGGAAAGUAUGGUCAUGUCUACUCUGUUUAAGAGAAGAGAGAUUUGUGAGAAAAGUAUACUUAUGGUAUGAGAACGACUUUAAGAAGAACGGUUAUGUGGUGGUUCUUCCGAGAAUGGCUUUCUUGUUCUCUUCCGAGAAUGAGUAUGAUUGUAGAAAUUUUUUAGUCUGAGAAUGGUUUUCUGUCUUAUGGUUUCAUGAGGGUUUUUUUUUCUCUUGUGGUUGCUGGUGAAUUUUUUAAACUUUUUUGCAAUGGUUUGUAUUAAUUAUUCGUUUCCUGAUUUGUAUUGAUUUUCAUUUCAGUUUGGCAACUAUAAUAAUUUGUAAUAA